AUUGAACGCUGGCGGCAGGCCUAACACAUGCAAGUCGAACGCGUGGCGGACGGGUGAGUAAUGUCUGGGAAACUGCCCGAUGGAGGGGGAUCACUACUGGAAACGGUAGCUAAUACCGCAUACCAUCGGAUGUGCAAAGAUGGGUGUAUGUAGUGGGUGGGGUAACGGCUCACCUAGGCGACGAGCCCUAGCUGGUCUGAGAGGAUGACCAGCCACACGGGAACUGAGACACGGUCCAGACUCCUACGGGAGGCAGCAGUGGGGAAUAUUGCACAAUGGGCGCAAGCCUGAUGCAGCCAUGCCGCGUGUAUGAAGAAGGCCUUCGGGUUGUAAAGUACUUUCAGCGAGGAGGCGUUACUCGCAGAAGAAGCACCGGCUAACUCCGUGCCAGCAGCCGCGGUAAUUC
rnacentral:rRNA from 1 species